ensembl:snoRNA SNORD22 Small nucleolar RNA SNORD22
CUGUGCUGAUGACACCCGCACACGUCUGACUCCAGGUGUCAGUGCCAGACCUGAAAAGGUGAACCCACUGGUGCUGCCCUGGGCGAGGGCUGAAGGCUCGUUGGGGUUCCAACAGUCUGAACAGA